rnacentral:rRNA from 1 species
UUCCGGUUGAUCCCGCCGGAGGCUACUGCUAUUGGAGUUCGAUUAAGCCAUGCGAGUCUAAGGGGUACUUGUACCCCUGGCAUAAUGCUCAGUAACACGUGGAUAAUCUACCCUUAGGUGGGGCAUAAACCCGGGAAACUGGGGCUAAUUCCCCAUAGAUACAGAACGCUGGAAUGCCUCUGUAUUCAAAGCUCCGGCGCCUAAGGAUGAGUCUGCGACCUAUCAGGUAGUAGUCAGGGUCACGACCUGACUAGCCAACGACGGGUACGGGGUGUGAGAGCACUUGCCCGGAGAUGGUUUCUGAGACACGAAACCAGGCCCUACGGGGCGCAGCAGGCGCGAAAACUUCGCAAUGCGGGAAACCGUGACGAGGGAACUCCAAGUGUCUAUGCAAUACAUAGACUGUUUUUCAGCCUAAAUAGCUGUUAGAGUAAGGGGUGGGUAAGACCGGUGCCAGCCGCCGCGGUAACACCGGCACCCCGAGUGGUAGCCACUAUUAUUGGGCCUAAAGCGUUCGUAGCCGGUUUAGUAAAUUCUUGGGUAAAUCGUACAGCUUAACUGUGCGGAUUCCGGGGACACUACUAGACUUGAGACCGGGAGAGAUUAGAGGUACUUGCAGGGGAGCGGUGAAAUGUUGUAAUCCUGCAGGGACCACCAGUGGCGAAGGCGUCUAAUCAUAACGGCUCUGACGGUGAGGAACGAAACCCUGGGGCGCAAACGGGAUUAGAUACCCCGGUAGUCCAGGGCGUAAACGCUGCUGACUUGGUGUUGGAGAUCCUACGAGGGUGUCCAGUGCUGGCGCGAAGGUAUUAAGUCAGCCGCCUGGGGAGUACGGUCGCAAGACUGAAACUUAAAGGAAUUGGCGGGGCAGCAC